UUUUACACCUUAAAACUUUGAUCCGUAUUUUUAUUUAAAACAUUAAAAACUUUAGUACCGGAGAAAGAAAGUUAAUUCAUUUAUUAGUUGAGAAGUACUGUAAAGGAACCAAUUAAAACAUAAAAAUAGCAGCUAUUGGGCGUACUUUUUGCAUCACGGCUUAGCAAGAGUUUACUGAAGAUCUCAGUUUCUCGAAAGCUGGUGAGCUAUCUUUUUCCGAAAUUUAUAGGUUCUAAUAGUUAAUCUAGACUAAAAAUGUAGCAUAAUUUUAGUAAGAGAAAAAGAUAGAAAUGAGAUGUUAUCCGCGCCAGUGAUAGCUAGUUUCUUCAGAAUUAUAUAGAAGUGUAUCGGUAAGCUUCUAAUUAAGAGAGCUUCAACUCUUAAUUAAAUUUUACCUAAAAAAUUUUUUAGGAUAAGCUAAAAAAUAAGCAGAGAAAUUGCAUCCACUAAAGAUAAGAUAACGUAAGCUUGAAAUCAGCUAUCGUCAGGAGUUUGUUAUAAAACAAUCGGCCCGUUUUAGAAAAUUUUUAUGCAUAUAUUUCCCGAUUUAUGGAGACAUAAAGAAAAACUAAAGCUUCUUUAAAGCCUAUGCUAAGAUGAGUAUUGUUAAUAUUGAAAUCACUGAGAAUAAAUAACUUUGCUUUCUCAUUUAUUAAGAUUUUUAAACAUUAAAUAAGAAAAAGGAAUUCGGCAAAAUUAGUUGUUUCGCCUGUUUAUCAAAAACAUCGCUCCUUGUGAUAUAAAAGAUAAGGAGUCGGACCUGCCCAGUGAAAUUUUUUAACGGCCGCGGUACUCUGACCGUGCAAAGGUAGCAUAAUCAUUUGCCUUAUAAUUGAAGGCUUGUAUGAAUGGUUUGACGAAAUCAACGCUGUCUCUUUUUUACUUCAUAGAAUUUGACUUGGGGGUGAAGAGGCCCCUAUUUAACUGAAGGACAAGAAGACCCUGUCGAGCUUGAAAAAUAAACAGAAAAUUAAUAUAGAGUUAAAUAAGUUGCUGAAUAAUUUUUUUGGUUGGGGCGACUGAGGAACAAAAAAAGCUUCCUUUCUCUUUAUAGAUUCUACAAGUUAGAGAUCCAGCUAUGCUGAUCAAAGGAAUUAGCUACCGCAGGGAUAACAGCAUAAUCUCUCUUGAGAGACCAAAUCGAAAGGGGGGGUUGUGACCUCGAUGUUGGACUAGGAUAUCCCAAAGGUGCAGAAGCCUUUGAAGGUUGGUCUGUUCGACCAUUAAAAUCCUACAUGAUCUGAGUUC
rnacentral:rRNA from 1 species